GACGAACGCUGGCGGCGCGCCUAACACAUGCAAGUCGAGCGAAGCGGCGGUCGGGUGAGUAACACGUGAGUCACCUGCCUAAGACAUUGGGAUAGCCUCGGGAAACCGGGAUCAAUACAAAAUGGUCUAAGAUGGACUCGUGUCCCAUUAGCAAGUUGGUGAGGUAACGGCCCCCCAAGGCGACGAUGGGUAGCCGGCCUGGGAGGGUUGACCGCCACAUUGGCACUAGGAAGCAGUCCAAACUCUGCGGGAGGCAGCAGUGGGGAAUAUUGCACAAUGGAGGGAACUCUGAUGCAGCGACGCCGCGGAAACGAAGAAGGCUUUCGAGUCGGAAAGUUCUUUUAUAUGGGAAGCGGUACCAUAAGAAAAAGCCCCGGCUAACUACGUGCCAGCAGCCGCGGUAAUAC
rnacentral:rRNA from 1 species